GAACAAUCCCGGAUGUGGCAGCGUCGACAGACGCAUCGGCGUAGGGGAAGUUGGACGUCGUUCGUGUUAUUGCUUGCUUCUCAGGUGUUGCGCAUGAGUAAUAUACCGUGGAAAUAUCAAAUCGUGGAAUCAGAGCAAAGUGUGACAUGGACUGGAAUGCGGAAACCACCGCCGCCAUGCUUGAAGAGCCCAAUAGCCACGGUGGCCGUAAAUUAUGGGAAGUGGCAAAAUGUCAGCAGCAGUGACUACUCCGUCCGUAUCAAUGGUGAAGCUUUUCUUCGGGACUAAGAAGAAUCAGUGACGACUUCAUGAACUUCAUUGCUGCGUUUUUGUUCCAUGUAAAGCGUCCUUGUAAGCACACAUUUCAGCAUUUUGAGUUUACAUUUCUGAGCUUAAAGCCUAGCCAGUAUCACAUCUUUGUACACAGAUUUCAAGUAUACAAUAAUAUGCCAUGGAAAAGUGUGAGACGACAUGACUGUGCAUGUAUAGUGGGAUAACUAAGAGGGUCAGAGCUUUCUCACUUGAGCAACGUAUGUGAAAUUUGCCUCUAAAAUUAUUAUACAUGAUUUUUUUUGGCUAUGUAGUAAUCAGCUGUGAGAAAUCAGAUGGACCAACUGCAACACAAGCUUGGAAUUUUUGUUCAUGCAACACAUCUAACCAAACGAAAAUAAGAGUCCACGAUAGCGAAACCUUGAGACGAAUGACAUACACACACAAUGUCUCAAACACAGCUGAAGGUUUUAUUCCCACAAAAGGUACUCAACCCCCCAGAGUCACAAAGUGAGUCACAACAGUAAAGUGACCAGCUUCCUCAAGACCAGAUAAAAGGUGACUGAGGGAUCUCUGGCACAGUUUUCACAACCCAGUAUGGAGAGCGUUUCCUUAACAAUCAUCUUUUGUCGGUUAUCCUCUUUGGUCAUCACAACAGUAUCCUAUAACAAUGGACAGCUACACUUGCACAUUUCCAAAUGUUUCAAAAUUUUUGAACAAUUAUCAUUAUUUUUUACUUUCAAUGAAUGCUCACUUAUAGCUGGUCAUUCAAACAUCGCUUUGGCUGGCCAGUGCAACAAAAACUGCAUCAAAGAGAAUCUGAUAUGCAAAUUUGAUUGGCGAAAACCUGUGUCAGCAAUCCCUCAGUGACCUUCCCUGCGGCCUUUAGGAAGCUGGUCACUUUCCUGUUGUGCUUUGCUUUCUGUCUCUGUGGUUUGAGUAUGUUGUGUUUGAAUAAACCCUUCAGCUGUGUUUGAUAUGUUGUUUGUGUAUGUCCCCUCUUGUCCCUCGUCUUGGGGUUUCGCUGUCAUGGAUAUUUAUUACCAGCUCACUUGCUACUUAACCAUCCUUUCACUGUAUACAUAAGAGGAUUGAAAAAAGUAGGUGUUCCUGUAUCUUUUAGUAGUUUCUGUCAGUGUUCAAGAUAAAUCAUAGUCCAGGGUACAAACGUUCCAUGACAACAGAGUUUUGCAGAAUUUGUGAAAUGUGUAUUACAUCAUACAUUACAUUACAUCAUAAUCAUACAUUACAGCAUGUUUUUGAUGCAGUCCACAUACAAACCCAUACGAACUUCUUGCAUUGCAGUGUUCUUCUAUCAUAGGAAAUUUAUGCCACAACAUAUUCAGCAUUGACUGCAGUUUGUUUGUGUUUCCAUGAAUGCAUUGCCAUUAUCUUUGUCGGCACAGUUUAAAUUACUUUUGGCCACUGUUCUUGGUGAUUGGGGGAUAAGACUGGUAUGCUACUUGGCAGUACUUUGACAUAUAUGUGCGCACCUUCUAGCCUAAUACAUGUGUUAAGUCAUCAUUUUGUCAUUAUUUGUACACUGCAAAAUGCUAGCACCUUGUUUCAUCUACAUUGGUGUUAUGCCCUUUCCGUGUUUGUACAUUGUGUUGUGUUUGCACUCAGUUUUCCAUACAUGUGAUACAGCUUAUGGCCUCAAGUCCUGUAUCAUAUCAUUCGUGAGUGUACAUCCCCACCCUCAUACACAUUAUCUCAACCGUUCAUCUCUUUCAUCCUUAAGUAUUCAUUUUUUCAUUUAUUCGCUGAGUAUUUACUUCCGGAAUGCAAGCCCACAUUCCGUUUUGCUGACUUCUCCCCUUUUAUUUCUUUUUUUUUUACCUCUAAUAAAUAUAUCCUUCCCCAGAAUUGUUGGCGAUUAGGCGCUUUCUUGUUUCUUUGUCAACAUUAGUCACUUCAUUACUUUGAAACACUCACAUCGUUUGGUAUAUGAGAGUUAUCGAUCAUGCUUCUUUUCAUGUGCCAGUGUAUAUCCAGCUCCUAAUCAUCAGUACAAUAAAUAUUCGGAAACAGCAAA